ACAUACUCAUUGGUUACUCAGGAAACCGGAAGCGUGAAGUGAAAGACCCGAUCCUCCCAAGCUUAGGCUCUAAUUGCUAAAUACCCUCUCAGUAUCUUAUUCGGUCCUGGGUGACAAGGGCCUUUGCUUUAUUCUCUCAUUUGCCCCAUUAUACCUAGAAUAUACCAGGAUCUAAGAGUAUUUCCCAAAGUAUAUGUGAAAUGCCAGCACUCAUUUAACAGAAGGCUCUGUUUUUUUCUUUGUCUUUCUGUUUAAGACCUUGCCUGUAGGAUCAAUAAAUAUUCAUCCUAGGUAUUAUAUGUGAGGCAGAGAAAAGGAAAAAAAACCAAAGACAUAGAUUAAGACAGGGCUGACCUCAGAAGCCAUCUAAUUUAAUUCCUUUAUUUUACAGGUGGGAGAAGAGAGACCAGGUCAUACUGAGUGACAUGACUAACAUCACACAACCAGUUAGCCGCAGAACCAGAGCGACCCCUGACUCUGACACUGGAUUUCUUUGACACUGGAUUUCUUUUUUGGAGGCAUGAAAGAGAAAUGUAGCUCCAUGGAAACAGCAAAAUUCACACAACUAAAGGCUGAGCAAUCUUCAACCAAAUGGACCAGAAACCUUCAAAAAGAUAUCCUACUCCAGAAGACAAAGAGGAGGCCACAUUGAGAGGGCCACACCUGUGGCAUGUGGAGGUUCCCAGGAUGGAAGUCAAUUUUGUACAAAAAUCAUAGGAGUUCCCGUCGUGGCGCAGUGGUUAACGAAUCCGACUAGG